GGGUGCUUAGGUAUCUUUCCAAAAAUCUGUGUGCUCCAGGUCGGAACGAUAUUUAGGUGUGUAAAUGGUCGGAAUUGAAAAAAAAUCGCUCGAGACUUCAAAGCGACAUGAAUUCACCUGCAAUCUACUUGAUAGCGUGUUGAAAUUUGAGUGCUGACUGCUGAGUUUUCACCUUUACAGCUUUGGUAAAAUUUACUAGUGGGUGAAAAUUUGACAGAUAGAAAUUUGGCAGGUUUAGAGUAUGUCCCAAACUUCAGUUCUCAUGGGUUAAUUUGGUGACAUUUGUAUUUUUUCUCAUUUUUAGCUGAAAAAAAUUCACAUCAAAGUGUACAAGCUACAACUUUCAAAAUCCAGUUUUUGAAGCACCCUCAUCGAGCUUUUCGCCAGGUAGCCAGGUGUGAUUUCUUUUUUCGAUGAAGGAGAAGGACCAAUGAGAAACCAGUCCUUGUUAUCAAUUUUGUAAGAUGUAAACACAAAAAGAUGAGGGAAAAAACGAAAAUUUAAAAAAAAUUUUCGAAGAAUCUUUCAGAAAUUUUUCUAGUUGGGGAAGCGAUAAAUUUGAAGAAAAGUUUAAGUGUGAUAGCAUCAAUUACAUUCUGCUUCAACUGCGCAGAUACCAAUCAUACUGAUAGCUGCCACAUAAAAUCGGCUCCAUUGUUCACAAUUUGGAAGAAUGACUAGUAACAUUCCGUUCGAAGAAAUACAACUGGAAACCCCUCCGAAUAGUGUUUUCGACACCAUGAACGAAUACAGAAAACAGAAUCCGUUUUACGACGUGACUCUCGAUGUCGGCGGUACUUUGUUUCCCUGUCAUCGUCUCAUUUUGACAGCCUCGUCUACUUAUUUUCAAGUCAUGUUCAGUGGAAAUUUCAAAGAAAGCAGCUUGAAAACCAUCCCCAUUCAGGACAUUGAUGCCGAAGUAAUGGGCAUUUUGCUGUCCGCUAUUCAUUCCUCGCGAAUUCGUUUGCUUCCAAGUAAUUCAUAUUUCGUAUUAAAAGCAAGCCAUGUGCUCCAAUGUGAUAGGAUUUUCAACGCAUGUGUGGACUGUAU